AGUGAACGCUGGCGGUAGGCCUAACACAUGCAAGUCGAACGGCAGCACAGUAAGAGCUUGCUCUUACGGGUGGCGAGUGGCGGACGGGUGAGGAAUACAUCGGAAUCUACUUUUUCGUGGGGGAUAACGUGGGGAAACUUACGCUAAUACCGCAUACGACCUACGGGUGAAAGCAGGGGAUCUUCGGACCUUGCGCGAUUGAAUGAGCCGAUGUCGGAUUAGCUAGUUGGCGGGGUAAAGGCCCACCAAGGCGACGAUCCGUAGCUGGUCUGAGAGGAUGAUCAGCCACACUGGAACUGAGACACGGUCCAGACUCCUACGGGAGGCAGCAGUGGGGAAUAUUGGACAAUGGGGGAAAGCCUGAUCCAGCCAUACCGCGUGGGUGAAGAAGGCCUUCGGGUUGUAAAGCCCUUUUGUUGGGAAAGAAAAGCAGCAGGUUAAUACCCCGCUGUUCUGACGGUACCCAAAGAAUAAGCACCGGCUAACUUCGUG
rnacentral:rRNA from 1 species